CCUACGGGAGGCAGCAGUGAAGAAUAUUUGUCAAUGGGCGCGAGCCUGAACCAGCCAAGUAGCGUGAAGGAUGACUGCCCUACGGGUUGUAAACUUCUGUUAUGAAGGAAUAAAGUGAGGCACGUGUGCCUUUUUGUAUGUACUUUAUGAAUAAUGAUCGGCUAACUCCGUGCCAGCAGCCGCGGUAAUACGGAGGAUCCGAGCGUUAUCCGGAUUUAUUGGGUUUAAAGGGAUCGUAGCUUGGUUGUUAAGUCCGUUGUGAAAGUUUGCGGCUCAACCGUAAAAUUGCAAUUGAUACUGGCAGACUUGAGUACAGUUGAGGUAGGCGGAAUUCGUGGUGUAGCGGUGAAAUGCUUAGAUAUCACGAAGAACUCCGAUUGCGAAGGCAGCUUACUAAACUGCCACUGACAUUGAUGCUCGAAAGUGUGGGGAUCAAACAGGAUUAGAUACCCCAGUAGUC
rnacentral:rRNA from 1 species